GCGAUCCUUCUUUGCUUUACCGACUCGAUUAACGUACAUAUUUGCUUCGAAGGAGUUUGAAGCACGUGAGAGAAAGUCGGCCCGCCCUUGAGUGAGGUGGAAUUUAGAGAUUUGUCAUUUUGGAGGCGAAGGUUCAUCCCUAGUGAUUUGAUAGCACAGAUUGAUGAUUGCGAAAAAAUAUGGGGUGUCGACUUGAGCCAAGAUCAACCCUCAGACGCGAAAAACGACGUCUUUUGCGGGAGCAACCACGAUGACGACUUACCGAAGCGCGUAGAGGCGCUUCGAAGGCAAAUCGCAGAAUUCGAAGAAAAAGUCGGUGACUAUCAAUCUCGGUUAGCCGUUAGAGUAGCGGACACAGUUGACAGUAAUUUUUUGGCUAGUUUUACAGAAGCUGAGAUGGAGAGGCUGACGGGUGUGAGGGUGCUCUCGGCGUUUCUUCGCUCAGCGGGCGACACGCAAGAUAAGGUUUGGAAGUUGGGUACGAGAGGUGAUUACAAGUUAAUGUUUUCGAUGGAAGUAUGGACGCUGGGCGUGACGUUGGCCGUGCAAGUUUUCGUGCCAUGCUUUGACAGAGAUUUUGAGAACGCGAGGCAUGCUAUCACUUUGAUAGAGGGGCCGACUUUGUUUACGGAAAAGACGUUCAAAUUGAGUGAAUUGAAGCGGAGGCUACUGGAGGAGAUAAGAAGUAUAAUGAGAUGAAAAUACAAAGAAGUUUUGCCGACUUUAUGCUGAAUUUACAGAAGUGGUUGAAAUGAGGAGAUAUCAAGCCAGAGGACAAGUGGGACGGCAUUUGAGAAGUUCCUUUGAUGCAUUUUUGUUUUUGAGGUGAUUGGAAAAUAACGUUGUGAUCGGAGCUACGGAUUAUUAAGAAUGUUGACGGUUUUGGCCAUUGUACGCGCUGAACGACUGAUUUUACUUGUGUGUGUCAAAUUGGUUAGGUUGUGGGAGGGCAUGGGUGGCUGCAAGCUACGAAUACCGCUGCUGAUAGAUCGCGGAGGCGUAUCCGCAGUUUGGCUUGCAUUGCCCAUCGAUGGGUUGCAGAGGUUGAGCGGAGCUGAGGGGGGCGUUCUUGGGUUCGGCUGCCCUUACGGUGGCGUUUUUUUUUUUUCUAUGAAGAUGCGUCAUUUUGGUCUUUUUUGGUGGAUUUUUUGCUUGUGUUUGAUUUUGUCAAUGUACCAUCAUGUAGAGCUUUUGUGCAAACUUCUCUGGCGUGACAUAUUUUGUCGUAUAUGUAUUUGCUGCCGCCCUUCCAAUCGUUUGCUUUGAUCAAGACGUCGUAGCGGGCUUCUAUGCCUUCCAGCGUAGGUUCCUGUAAGUGAAGCACCUUGAUGGCUUCUUCGAGGGACAUCAUUUCUGUUGUGUGUUCCUCGGUUGAUUUUUCGAAUUUGAAGUUAAGUUUUUCGCGUAUUUUCGAUGCGUCGUCAGUGGCUUUGCUUAAUUCUUCUCGUAUAUUUUUUACCCAGUCGAAUAGUAUUUUGUAUUGGUGAUAUUCUCUGGCGUCGAAGGGCCGCUCGUCUCCAGGCUUGCCAAUUAUUAUCUCCGGAUUGGAUCGUGAAGCAAUGUAGUCCGCCUUGAGCAUUCGAGCGAUCAUGUCUCGUUUGUACUGCCACGCCUUGGUUAUUUCGCGCAGAAAUAGGCGUCUUUGUUGUCUUUCCGCUAAAAAGUGCAAUAUUAAUAAAAUUGGUAGUUUUUGACGCGCGCGCACCGAAGUUGUAGGUCUCUUUUGGCGUACCUGAUUUUCGCCUCAAAGCUCGUAUUGCGGAGCUUCCCAACCGCUGAACGAGCAGACGCACGGCGGCGUUACGAAGCUAUGCGAGAUGGCGUUAGUUUUGAGAUUCGAGUCCGAAAGCCCCAGCCAUCGAUGACGCGACUCAGGGUGGGGAGAGCUGGCCUCCACUCGUCGGCGCACGUACCGCCCUCCAAACCAUAUGAA